UAGUCCGAGUGGAUUGAGCGAGCUGAGUGGUUGUGUGGUCACAUCUUGGAAACCAGUAGUACUUGCAGCAUGGCUGACCAAUUGACUGAAGAGCAGACUGCAGAAUUCAAAGAAGCUUUUUCACUAUUUGACAAGGAUGGUGGUGGAACCAUAACAACAAAGGAAUUGGGAACUAUAACAAGGUCUCUUGGGCAGACUCCCACAGCAGCAGAGUUACAGGACAUGAUUAAUGAAGUAGAUGCUGAUGGUAACGGCACAAUUGAUUUCCCUGAAUUUCUGACCAUGAUGACAAGAAAAAUGAAAGACACAGACAGCAAAGAAGAAAUUAGAGAAGCAUUCCAUGUGUUUGAUAAGGAUGGCAAUGGCUCUAUUAGUGCAGGAGAGUUUCACCAUGUGAUGACAAACGUGGGAGAGAAGCUAACAAAGAGGUAGAUGAAGUGAGCAGGGAAGCAGAUAUUGAUGGUGAUGUUCAAGUAAACUAUGAAGAGUUUGUACAAAUGAUGACAGCAAAGUGAAGACACUGUACAGAAUGUGUUACAUUUCUUGUACAAAAUUGUUUAUUUGUCUUUU